rnacentral:lncRNA from 10 species
ACUACCAAGAGAACGGUUGUCACUUCUGCCUAUGUAUCUUUCCAGCAGGGCUGGGACCACAUGGGAAGAAAUCUGCUGUCUAUUCCUGUCUACAAUGAUUCAGCAAUGAGGAAACAUUGACAGAGUAUCUGCUAUGUGCUAGUCACUGUAGACUUCCCCAUCUAAUCUCACAACAAACCUGUCAGGUCUAAAAGAGUCAUGGAGAUGCUGUGGUGAGGGGAGAGGCCAGGCUUAGAGACCUUCAAGAUCUUCAACACCCCCCCAACCCCAACUCUGCACUCCAAAUGGCCACUCUCCAAACACACCCCUGGAAAACAACCAAUGCUCCUCAGAGUGUUUGACUCCUGAUACCACUUAUCUGGUGAUAAGAACUUUUGGGCCAGGCACAGUGGCUCAUCCCUGUAAUCCCAGCACUUUGGGAGGCCAAACCAGGUGGAUCACUUGAGGUCAGGAAUUCAAGACCAGCCUGGCCUGCAGCAUGGUGAAACCCCUUCUCUACAAAAAAUAUGAAAAAUUAGCCAGGUGCGGUGGUGAGUGCCUGUAAUCCCAGCAACUCGGGAGGCUGAGGCAGGAGAAUCACUUGAACCUGGGAGG